rnacentral:rRNA from 1 species
CAUGCAAGUCGAGCGGUAAUUCCCUUCGGGUUACACGAGCGGCGAACGGGUGAGUAACACGUGAGCAAUCUGCCCUCCACAUCGGGAUAACCCCCGGAAACGGGAGCUAAUACCGGAUACGACCACUUCAGGCAUCUGAUGGUGGUGGAAAGUUCUGGCGGUGGAGGAUGAGCUCGCGGCCUAUCAGCUUGUUGGUGGGGUAAUGGCCCACCAAGGCUUCGACGGGUAGCCGGCCUGAGAGGGUGACCGGCCACACUGGGACUGAGACACGGCCCAGACUCCUACGGGAGGCAGCAGUGGGGAAUAUUGGACAAUGGGCGAAAGCCUGAUCCAGCAACGCCGCGUGAGGGAUGACGGCCUUCGGGUUGUAAACCUCUUUCAGCGCAGACGAAGCGAAAGUGACGGUAUGCGCAGAAGAAGCACCGGCCAACUACGUGCCAGCAGCCGCGGUAAUACGUAGGGUGCGAGCGUUGUCCGGAAUUAUUGGGCGUAAAGGGCUCGUAGGCGGUCUGUUGCGUCAGGAGUGAAAACUCGGGGCUUAACCCCGAGCCUGCUUCUGAUACGGGCAGACUAGAGGUAUGCAGUGGAGAACGGAAUUCCUGGUGUGGCGGUGAAAUGCGCAGAUAUCAGGAGGAACACCGGUGGCGAAGGCGGUUCUCUGGGCAUUACCUGACGCUGAGGAGCGAAAGUGUGGGGAGCGAACAGGAUUAGAUACCCUGGUAGUCCACACCGUAAACGUUGGGCGCUAGGUGUGGGGCUCAUUCCACGAGUUCCGUGCCGCAGCUAACGCAUUAAGCGCCCCGCCUG